GACGGGUGAGUAACACGUGGGUAACCUGCCUGUAAGACUGGGAUAACUCCGGGAAACCGGGGCUAAUACCGGAUGCUUGUUUGAACCGCAUGGUUCAAACAUAAAAGGUGGCUUCGGCUACCACUUACAGAUGGACCCGCGGCGCAUUAGCUAGUUGGUGAGGUAAUGGCUCACCAAGGCAACGAUGCGUAGCCGACCUGAGAGGGUGAUCGGCCACACUGGGACUGAGACACGGCCCAGACUCCUACGGGAGGCAGCAGUAGGGAAUCUUCCGCAAUGGACGAAAGUCUGACGGAGCAACGCCGCGUGAGUGAUGAAGGUUUUCGGAUCGUAAAGCUCUGUUGUUAGGGAAGAACAAGUGCCGUUCGAAUAGGGCGGCACCUUGACGGUACCUAACCAGAAAGCCACGGCUAACUACGUGCCAGCAGCCGCGGUAAUACGUAGGUGGCAAGCGUUGUCCGGAAUUAUUGGGCGUAAAGGGCUCGCAGGCGGUUUCUUAAGUCUGAUGUGAAAGCCCCCGG
rnacentral:rRNA from 2 species